GCCGCCUUUGUUUAGCCGUUGAUGAUGAAGCCACGCCCACAAAUUGAGGCGCUACUUCUUUCGUUGACCAAAGUCUGUGACCUACACGAUGAAACUAGGCGGGACACAGAGAAGCUCAUUUCUUCAGCUCGACACGUUGAGCAGGUUGGUCACUUUUGCAGCACCAGAUGAAAGAUUGACGUUGAUGCUCUGUUAACUCAGGUUCCUGUGAAGCGUAGAGAUGAGGCAAAUCCGUGCUGGGAUUAUCUUCCACUUUCUCACCUCGCACAGGUGUGGAGAGCUGAUAUGGCCUAAAAACCCACAUGCUCCCAAUGCACCAUGGGAAGAAGCGGGACAGCUGUGAGAGGGAAGCCACAGAGCUCUUAUGAAAGAUCAAGGUUUGGCAAACUGCCUGAGGCCUGGCCUGUUUGUGCUAAGACUGACCGUCAAACUACCAAAGCCAGAUCACUGCGCUUCAAAGCCAUCCAGGAACGGAUGAAGACC